rnacentral:tRNA from 1 species
GGUCUCGUGGUCGAGUGGUAAGGACAUUUGUCUCUCACCCUGAAGUCCCGGGUUUGAUCCUCGGUCGAGAAGCUA